GCAAGUAUACACGGUCAACAAGUAAUAAAGUGAAAGUAGAGUAUCGUUCCCACGAGGAAUUAUUUAAUAAAAAUUACCAAUUAUUGACUCUUAACCAAAUCAAUUUUAUUUAAACAAUUACAAAUUGUGAAUUUUCUAAUUAAGAAAAUUAAAUUAAACAAUUAAAAGAGAUUAGUCUAAAAGAAAGCAAAUAAACAAAACUAAGAUUUGAUUGAAUUCAGGUAAAUAAGGAUUAAGACUCCAAUAUCCCCAAUUAUGAACUAUAAAUCAAUUAUCCAAUUAUCUCAAUUAUUAUGUCUACUGAAUUGUUAACUGGAAUUCUUAAAUGCCAAAAGCCCUUUUCCAAGUGAUCAAUUGCCUUCUAUUUAAUCCAGAUUAAUUUUGCUAUAUUCCUAUGCAAAAUAAUUGAAUUAAACUCGUUACAAUCCCAAUUCCUUAUGUGUUACAUGCGGCAAAAAGAUAUUUCCAUUCUAUUCACAAACCUAAUUAUUCACUGUGCAAAUAACUAAGUCACAUGAUAUCAUGCCCAGUUCUAACCCUAGAAUUCCUUUCCCAAUUCCUUCUAGAGUAACAAGGUAAUUAUUGGCCAAAUAAUUAAGCAAUAGAUUCGAAACAUGAUAAAUAAUUCACUUCAACAUAAAUAAUUAGAAUGACUGAAUAACUAAUUUAUAGCCAUAAAAGGUUCAAUUGAAAUCUUAAUAAAAGAGUUAGUUCAUAAUUAAUGAAUUAAAACCAAGAAUCCACAAUUGAAUAGACAUUAAAAGAUAAAAUUAGGAUGAGAGAAGAGAAUAGAAUCUGUUGUCAACAAAUCUGAUGCUCCACUCUUGCUCCUGCUUUGAAUCUUCAAUGGUCUCCAAGUUGCUUCAAUCUCCAAAACUAAUAAGAACUAGGGUUAUGUUCUAAUCUAAAGGAGUGUUUAAUCUAGGCUAAGCUAUGUAAUCCCUUCUUAUUUUAUGCCUUACAUCAUGUAUUUAUAGGUUACAAGUCCAAUUUUUAGUUUAGGAACAAACCCAAUCCAAUUUAGAGUCAAAAAGGUGUUAAAAUUCGCCCAAAACGCGUCCAGGCCAUCACCAGGCCCUUCCCCAGCGCCCCAGCUCUGGGCACGGCGCUGAGAGUCUGCCUUAUAGCGCCCCGGCGCUGGAAAAUGCACUAAGAAUAGCGCCCCGGCGCUGGCCCAAAAUCUGACAUUUUCUGCUCCGACGUCCUUUGAGAAAAUGGCCAUAACUUCUUCGUCCGAACUCCGAUUUUGAUGAUUCAAGAUGUUCCGGAAAGAGGAGAAGUAGAUCUACAACUUUCAUUCAUUGAGUGUUUCGAAAUAAUGUCCGGAGCUAUAGUAAAAUUGGCUCUUAAGUGACUGCUGUGUAAAUGGCAAGCCGAAAAUGCGAAUCUAGCCACCCCGAACGUCGAUCCAUGUAACUUUUGUCCCAAUUCCUACAAAACAAUAUAGAGCAUGCAUAAAUAGACACAAACACAUAAAAACAUCCUAAAAGACUUGAGAACAACAAUAAAUUAAGCCCGAAUGUAUCCAAUUCAUGUGUAUAAAACUCACUCAUCA
rnacentral:lncRNA from 1 species